rnacentral:rRNA from 1 species
GUGGAUUAGAUACCCUGGUAGUCCUGGCAGUAAACGGUGCACGUUUGGUGUGGGAGGAUUCGACCCCUUCUGCGCCGGAGCUAACGCGUUAAACGUGCCGCCUGGGGAGUACGGUCGCAAGAUUAAAACUCAAAGAAAUUGACGGGGGCCCGCACAAGCGGUGGAGUAUGUGGCUUAAUUCGAUGCAACGCGAAGAACCUUACCUGGCCUUGACAUGCAUCUCUAAGCUGGUGAAAGCCAGUGAGUCUCGAAAGAGACAAUUUGCACAGGUGCUGCACGGCUGUCGACAACU